CCUACGGGAGGCAGCAGUAGGGAAUCUUCCACAAUGGGCGAAAGCCUGAUGGAGCAACGCCGCGUGGGUGAAGAAGGUCUUCGGAUCGUAAAACCCUGUUGUUAGAGAAGAAAGUGCGUGAGAGUAACUGUUCACGUUUCGACGGUAUCUAACCAGAAAGCCACGGCUAACUACGUGCCAGCAGCCGCGGUAAUACGUAGGUGGCAAGCGUUAUCCGGAUUGAUUGGGCGUAAAGGGAACGCAGGCGGUCUUUUAAGUCUGAUGUGAAAGCCUUCGGCUUAACCGGAGUAGUGCAUUGGAAACUGGGAGACUUGAGUGCAGAAGAGGAGAGUGGAACUCCAUGUGUAGCGGUGAAAUGCGUAGAUAUAUGGAAGAACACCAGUGGCGAAAGCGGUUCUCUGGUCUGUAACUGACGCUGAGGUUCGAAAGCGUGGGUAGCAAACAGGAUUAGAUACCCCUGGUAGUC
rnacentral:rRNA from 1 species